GAUGAACGCUAGCUACAGGCUUAACACAUGCAAGUCGAGGGGUAACGAGAGGAAAGCUUGCUUUCCUUGUCGACGACCGGCGCACGGGUGAGUAACGCGUAUUCAACCUGCCCCCAACUAAGGAAUAACCUUGCGAAAGUAAGACUAAUACCUUAUAAUUUCCUCAGAUGUCAUCUGACGAGGAAUAAAGAUUUAUCGGUUGUGGAUGGGGAUGCGUCUGAUUAGCUUGUUGGCGGGGUAACGGCCCACCAAGGCAACGAUCAGUAGGGGUUCUGAGAGGAGGGUCCCCCACAGUGGAACUGAGACACGGUCCAAACUCCUACGGGAGGCAGCAUUGAGGAAUAUUGGUCAAUGGGCGGAAGCCUGAACCAGCCAAGUAGCGUGCAGGAUGACGGCCCUAUGGGUUGUAAACUGCUUUUAUACAGGAAUAAAGGUAGCCACGUGUGGUUAUUUGUAGGUACUGUAUGAAUAAGGACCGGCUAAUUCCGUGCCAGCCGCCGCAGUAA
rnacentral:rRNA from 1 species